UCUUUUCCCUGUGUUGUUUCAUGUCUGAUAAUCUUGGAUGCGGUUUGUGUGUGUGUGUGAAUCCAGCUCCUUCUGGUUAUUACUCCCUGGUGUUAUUUGGCCCCCCUCCCACAAAAGAUGUUGAGUAAUGUGUGUAUCCACAAAUGCAUCAGACGUUUCAACGUUCCCUUGGAUUAUCAUUAAGGGAAUCGGGUCUGUUUUUCACAUAUAAUCACUGGUAAGAAACUACUUCAUCAUCCUAACAUUAGCAUCUUCUGUUUCAUAUCAGUUUUUUCAGGAAACUGAAAAUCUCUCUCUCUAGAGAGACACUUAUAUGUAAAGUUAAAAAUGCCUUGGCUGGGAAUUACAGAAGCAAUUUUCCCUGCUUCUGAGCAGCAACCCUUGAUGCAAAAGGUCAACUACUUGAAAUUGAAGAUAUCAGCCCCAUUCCAUGAAAAAGUUUCAAGAAUCACAAAGUAUGCACAACACUUUAACAUGCCCUGUGCACAGAAGGACUUUUCUUCCAACUUCAUUAUUCUGUUACUACUUUAUUGAAUGGUAAGUAAAAACACUAGUUACAAAGUAAGAGGAAAUCACUGUUAAUACACGUUUUGAUUUUCACAUUUGAGACAAUCAAGUUACAGGUGGCUUGUUGGUAUAUCCCCAUUGUUACACUAUUUUCAUCAUCAUUCAACAAAUGUGUGAUACCAACAAUUACGACUAAGAAUUUAACUUCCAUUAUAAUAGGCUCAUUUUUCCUAGCUAUUUAAAUAUCCCAAGUUCUGUGAUCAGAAUAUAUUCAGCAAGUAUUUGGAGUAUUUAGUCUAACUUAUUCACUGCUUUCUGCUCAAACCAAAGGAAAGUAAGCUGGGCAUAAGAGAGUAAUGUGUAUGAGAGACUUCUACUACUAAGAAUGGGUACAGAAAUUGAUUUAUGAUCUCUCACCAAUUCCUUCCCAUUCUUCAUUCAAUAACACAGAAGCAGUAGCCUCAUAUUCUUUUGUUUACAAGUAUAGCAAAAAAAGUAGAUUUCAUCAGGAACAUUGAGGAUAUACAAUUUUUAAGACCAUGCUUAUGUGAAGUUUGACUUCACAAUCUGGACUUUUUCACUUUAAAUAUACGGUAGAAUUAAAUGUCAGAAUAUCUGUUUUGCAGAAUAGCUUUCUCCCUAAGUAUUUGAAAAAUGUUAACAGAAUUAUGGCAGUAAUUAUUUGCCUAAUAUAUCACAGAUUACAAAAUCUGAUCCUUAAGAUUUUGAUUUUUAUGUAUUGUAAUAUGUUUCCUGAAAACAGCUUGUUUGUGACUCAGUUUUGUUUGGGUCCUUCAAAGGUUCAAAGAAACAUAAAAGCUACUUUUUUAUUAAAUACAACAUGAUAUGUGCUUGCAAUACAUUUUAAAGUCAACCAUCUUCCAAACUUAGUUCACAAGUUUAUUAUGAAAAAUGCUGCAACACUCCUGCAGCAACGUCUUACAGAAAUAAAUUGUUCUUUCAAAGUAAUUCACUACGAUGAACACAUACAUGGGACACUUUGUAGAGGAAAUGUGUGAGAGAAAAAUGGGAGUGGGAACAGAGUUCAGAUGAAACAAUAAUACAAUUAAAUUAAAUUGUUUCUCUAAAAAACAAAAUAAGAACACAAAUAAGAAAAGUCGGUCUCGGUGCUUAUUUAAAAUGUUCAUUAAGCUUCAAUGAUAGUUUGCUAUUCUUAUCUACAAUCAUGCUGGAAAGCUAAAGCUAAAUGGAAAGUUACUUGUAAUUCACGAAGUGUUAAAUGUCUACGUAUUAAUAUUUGCAGUCUCUCAGAGAAAGCAAAA